rnacentral:rRNA from 1 species
UAGGGAAUCUUCGGCAAUGGGGGCAACCCUGACCGAGCAACGCCGCGUGAGUGAAGAAGGUCUUCGGCUCGUAAAGCCCUGUUGUAAGAGAAGAACGUGUGUGAGAGUGGAAAGUUCACACAGUGACGGUAACUUACCAGAAAGGGACGGCUAACUACGUGCCAGCAGCCGCGGUAAUUCGUAGGUCCCGAGCGUUGUCCGGAUUUAUUGGGCGUAAAGCGAGCGCAGGCGGUUUAAUACGUCUGAAGUUAAAGGCAGUGGCUUAACCAUUGUUCGCUUUGGAAACUGUUAAGCUUGAGUGCAGAAGGGGAGAGUGGAAUUCCAUGUGUAGCGGUGAAAUGCGUAGAUAUAUGGAGGAACACCGGUGGCGAAAGCGGCUCUCUGGUCUGUAACUGACGCUGAGGCUCGAAAGCGUGGGGAGCAAACAGG